rnacentral:rRNA from 1 species
AUUGAACGCUGGCGGCAGGCCUAACACAUGCAAGUCGAGCGGAGCGGCGGACGGGUGAGUAAUGCCUAGGAAUCUGCCUGGUCGUGAGGGAUAACGUCCGGAAACGGGCGCUAAUACCGCAUACUCUCAGAUGAGCCUAGGGCGGAUUAGCGAGUUGGUGGGGUAAAGGACUACCAAGGCGACGAUCCGUAACUGGUCUGAGAGGAUGAGCAGUCACACUGGAACUGAGACACGUUCCAGACUCCUACGGUAGGCAGCAGUGGGGAAUAUUGGACAAUGGGCGAAAGCCUGAUCCAGCCAUGCCGCGUUUGUGAAGAAGGUCUUCGGAUUGUAAAGCACUUUCAGUUGGGAGGCGUUACCAACAGAAUAAGCACCGGCUAACUUCGUGCCAGCAGCCGCGGUAAUUC